rnacentral:rRNA from 1 species
UACUUAGUGGCAGACGGGUGAGUAACAUGUAGGUAUCUGCCCUUUGGCCUGGAAUAACACGAGGAAACUUGUGCUAAUACCGGAUAAGUCUUUACGGAGAAAGCUUUAUGCACCAUUGGAUGAGCCUGCACUUGAUUAGUUUGUUGGUGGGGUAAUGGCCUACCAAGACUGUGAUCAAUAGCUGAUUUGAGAGGAUGAUCAGCCACAUUGGGACUGAGACACGGCCCAAACUCCUACGGGAGGCAGCAGUGGGGAAUCUUGCACAAUGGAGGAAACUCUGAUGCAGCGAUGCCGCGUGAGUGAAGAAGGCCCUUGGGUUGUAAAGCUCUUUCGUCGGGGAAGAAAAUGACUGUACCCGAAUAAGAAGGUCCGGCUAACUUCGUGCCAGCAGCCGCGGUAAUACGAAGGGACCUAGCGUAGUUCGGAAUUACUGGGCUUAAAGAGUUCGUAGGUGGUUGAAAAAGUUAGUGGUGAAAUCCCAGAGCUUAACUCUGGAACUGCCAU